rnacentral:rRNA from 1 species
UACGUAGGUGGCGAGCGUUGUCCGGAUUUACUGGGCGUAAAGAGCGCGCAGGCGGUCGUAUAAGUCGCGUGUGAAAGCCCCCGGCUCAACUGGGGAGGGUCACGCGAUACUGUUCGACUUGAAGGCAGGAGAGGGAAGCGGAAUUCCCGGUGUAGUGGUGAAAUGCGUAGAUAUCGGGAGGAACACCAGUGGCGAAGGCGGCUUCCUGGCCUGUUCUUGACGCUGAGGCGCGAAAGCUAGGGGAGCAAACAGG